CCUACGGGAGGCAGCAGUGAGGAAUAUUGCUCAAUGGACGAAAGUCUGAAGCAGCGACGCCGCGUGAGGGAUGAAGUCCGUUUGGAUGUAAACCUCUUUUGCAGAAGAAGAAUGUUUCGAUUUCUCGAAAUUGACGGUAUUUUGCGAAUAAGCACCGGCUAACUACGUGCCAGCAGUCGCGGUAAUACGUAGGGUGCGAGCGUUGUCCGGAAUUACUGGGUGUAAAGGGUCCGCAGGCGGGCGAGUAAGUCUGUGGUGAAAUCUUACGGCUUAACCGUAAAUUGCCACGGAAACUGCUUGCCUUGAGUGUGAAAGAGGAAGAUGGAAUUCAUGGUGUAGCAGUGAAAUGCGUAGAUAUCAUGAAGAACACCGGUAGCGAAGGCGAUCUUCUGGUUCACAACUGACGCUCAGGGACGAAAGCGUGGGGAGCAAACAGGAUUAGAUACCCUGGUAGUCCACGACCUAACCACUGAUACUCGAUGUCGGUAGUCGAAGAUUCGGUGUCUGAGCAACGACGAAUAAGUAGUCCCGACCGUCGGGGUAGGUACGGAGUCGUCGUAAGGUUAGUUAAACGUACGUUAAAGGUUAAAGUUAGUUACGGCGUUGAGACGUUGCCGACGGACGACGACGAGGGAGGAGG
rnacentral:rRNA from 1 species